CUCCCCCGACAAUCUCCCUCCCCCUCCCCCCCGCCCUCUCUCUCUCUCUCUCUCUCUCUCUCUCUCUCUGUGUGUGACCGGCUAACAAAAGCCUUGUUGCCCUUUCGCCGGGUUUUCUCGCCGUCGCUCCUUCUCCGGAAUAAAUACACUUUUCCACAGUCUCCUUCCUUGAGUGGUGAGUGUGUAUCCCCCCCUUCCCCUUCCCCCUCCCCACUGGUUUGCCUCCCCUCCUCCACCACCUCCUCCUCCAGCGGCGGCGGUCCACUCGUCUUCUUUCUCAGGCAGUGCGAGAACACCAGAGAGGCUUGUCUCCUCCUCCCCCAGCGGGCAGGGCUCAAGAGGAGUGCAUGGGAGCUCUCUCUCCCUCUCUCUUUACUCCCUCCCUCACCCUCGUUUGUCUCUUCACGGGGUGAUGAGGCAGGAGAGGCAGAGGAGGUGCGUGGCAGUUCAAAAAGCGCUGGCUGCCUCCCUCGCUCUUUCAGGGUUUCCCUAAAGCCGGGUCAUUGAUUCCUCGCUCGUUCUUUUCCUCGUUGUCCCGGGAUAAGGUUACAGCCAAUGAUGUGAUGAUUUAUUUAAGGAAACAUUAUAAAAACAUCCUGGGAUUUUCAGGUUACGAAUCCAAAAGAAGUGCAACCUCUUCUGGCGGUCCGCAGGCGCUGGUCUUUACACGACCCCCCCCAACGCAAGCGGACAUGUGCAACAGCUGGCACAUGGCACUGGGAAUGACACAUGGCUGGCCCAAAGCCAGGUACAGUGCUGCAGAGAGACUAGGCUAGCCAGUGAUAGCCAAGAUUUAAACCCUCAGUUAUGGCCGUCUUGAACGCAGCAAGAACUCCAAUUCCACAACAUAAACGUGAAAGGUAGAGGGGAUUGGUAAAUAUGAACAAAACACCUAUUUAAACAUUACCCAGAGCAGCAGCUGAGUUUGAAUAAUAAAUGUUCGUGUUUGAUGCAUGUUGAAAAGUAAAUAAAAGUUUAUGGGACUGACUAA